rnacentral:rRNA from 1 species
CCNCAGCAAUAGUANANAGCUUGCUUCUCUNAUUUANNGACGGACGGGUGAGUAACACGUGGGCAACCUGCCCUACNNAUUGGGAUAACUCANGGAAACCUGGGCUAAUACCGGAUAAUCCUUCGAAUCACAUGUUUUGAAGUUGAAAGGCGCUUCGGCGUCACUGUAGGAUGGGCCCGCGGUGCAUUAGCUAGUUGGUGGGGUAACGGCCUACCAAGGCAACGAUGCAUAGCCGACCUGAGAGGGUGAUCGGCCACAUUGGGACUGANACACGGCCCAAACUCCUACGGGAGGCAGCAGNAGGGAAUCUUCCACAGUGGACGAAAGUCUGAUGGAGCAACGCCGCGUGAGUGAUGAAGGUUUUCGGAUCGUAAAACUCUGUUGUAAGGGAAGAACAAGUACGUUAGGAAAUGAACGUACCUUGACGGNACCUUAUUANAAAGCCACGGCUAACUACGUGCCA